rnacentral:lncRNA from 1 species
GGAAUCCUAUCCUGUCCCCAGAGCCUGUGGAUAUAUUCUUUUAUGUGCUAAGAGGGACUUUACAGAUUUGAUGAAGAACCUCAAGGUAUGACUGGAUAGCAUGGUGUAUGUGUCCAUAACCCAGGUCCUCGGUAGGCUGGCACGGGAAGAUCCAGAGUUCAAGGCCAGCCUGGACUGCAAACGAUGCCCCAUCUCAAAAGACAAAAAUCACAAACCUUGAGUGGGGACGAUUCCCAUAGAUGAUCUAAAGGCUCAGGACAAUUAAAAUGUUCAUCUGAGGGGGAGGUCUGAGCAACAAACUAUGAGAAAGAGAGUCUCCAGAGUACUGGAAGACAUGCUACCUCUGGAGCUGAAGACAAGAGGAGUCGUGAGCUGAUGAAGGCAGGAAGCUUGUGGAAAAGUUAAAGGAUGUACUGCGAUGCUUCCUUCAAACUUCCCAGCACAGGGAGCCCAGAUGUUAAGAACUGUAUGUAAGUGACUGAGUGGAAAGAUUUGAGAGCAAGCCUCCUAGCAACUGCG